GCUUCCUACGGGGCGCAGCAGUGGGGAAUAUUGCACAAUGGGGGAAACCCUGAUGCAGCGACGCCGCGUGAGUGAAGAAGUAUUUCGGUAUGUAAACUUCUAUCAGCAGGGAAGAAAAUGACGGUACCUGACUAAGAAGCCGCGGCUAACUACGUGCCAGCAGCCGCGGUAAUACGUAGGGGGCAAGCGUUAUCCGGAUUUACUGGGGGUAAAGGGAGCGUAGGCGGUGCAGCAAGUCGGAAGUGAAAGCCCGGGGCUCAACUCCGGGACUGCUUUUGAAACUGUAGAACUAGAUUGCAGGGGAG
rnacentral:rRNA from 1 species